rnacentral:rRNA from 1 species
UACGUAGGGGGCAAGCGUUGUCCGGAAUCAUUGGGCGUAAAGAGCGCGUAGGCGGCCCUGUAAGUCCGCUGUGAAAGUCAAGGGCUCAACCCUUGGAUGCCGGUGGAUACUGCAGGGCUAGAGUCCGGAAGAGGCGAGUGGAAUUCCUGGUGUAGCGGUGAAAUGCGCAGAUAUCAGGAGGAACACCUAUGGCGAAGGCAGCUCGCUGGGACGGUGACUGACGCUGAGACGCGAAAGCGUGGGGAGCGAACAGG